ACUCCCUCUAUUGCCUCUCCAGACCCAGACUUCACCCUCAGGUCACCCUCACCUGGACUUUGGGGUGCCCCACACCCCGCCCCAGGCCCUGGCCUCUGGAAUAUUUGGAAACUUGAACUGGGCCAGAGGCUUAAGCUCACAUCUGUCUGGAGCCUCAACUUUCUCCUCUGUAAAAUGGGCUAACACUGAAAGAACCUUGCAGAAUCUCAGCAACGUCACAGAGGACAUUGUUAGCACAGCCAGCGGGCUCCUGCUGGGCUGAGUUUGUGGGUAAUCCAAGCCUCGGCAGGUACAGUUCCUCCCUCAGCCCAGUGCAGAUGCAUCUGACUUACGAAACUUCAGUGACACCUGCUCUGUGCCAGACACUGAAGAUGGAGCAGUGAACAGCACUGACCCAGCCUGUCCUCCUGUUGCCUGCAGGCCAGAAGCAAGGUCUCGCUGUGUUACCCUGGCUGGAGUGCAGUGGCUACUUACAGGCAUGAUCAUAGCAUACUGCAGCCUCGAACUCCUGGACUAGAGCAGUUCUCCUGCCUCAGCCUCCAGAGCAGCUGGGACUGCAGACACGCACCACAGAGCCCAGCCUGAGUCAUUUUGAUUCUGUAACUGGCUUCCUCUCGGCGGGCAGGCUCACACCCUCCACCCCCAGCUGGAGAUGGAAGGAGGAUGCUCACCGCCCAUUCCUCAUGCAGGCCAUCGAUGGAAAUGUCAGACAGUGCGAGUCCACGCCUGAACACUUCUGGGGUCCGCUCUGGGACUGACACUGGCAGAUCCAUCGGUGAGCUCCCGCCUGCCACCUCUGGGCCUGCAUUGCGGUGAUAGGGCCAAGGGCCUGGGCCUUCAAUUCUCCAGACUUGCCAAAAUGCUCAGCGCAGGCCUCGUCGGCAACUGCAGACAAGCAGAGGCAGCACCUGGGCUCUGCCUGUGCCUGGCACAGUGAAGCGAGGGUGGGGGCAGGAAUGAGGGUCCUCUCCAUGCAAGGGGGGAAGAUAGAAGAACAAAAUUUCACCCUAAUGUAGUGUCUUUAGACCGUGCAAUGUUGUGCUCCUGUUAGUCUGAUAUCAGGGGCUUGCAGCCUGGCAAAGGAAAAAAAACAGGCUGAGGCACAUGAUAGAAGACAGGCAGGGAUGCCACAAUCAUAACCAUGGCAAAGACCAGGAUCAGAAAGGCCCACCAUCUCUGACCCCAAAUCCCUGGGCAGAUGGUUCCAGAACUCAGAAUUUUCCCAGUUGUAGAAAGAUGGGGCCAGGUGCAGUGGCUCACGCCUGUAAUCCCAGCAUUUUGGGAGUACAAGGUGGGCGGAUCACCUGAGGUCAGGAGUUCGAGACCAGCCUGGCCAACAUGGUGAAACCCUGUCUCUACUAAAAAAAAAAAAAAAAAUUAGCCGGGCGUGGCGAUGCAUGCCUGUAAUCCCAGCUACUCGGGAGGCUGAGCCAGGAGAAUUGCUUGAACCCGGGAGGCGGAGGUUGCAGUGAGCCAAGAUCGCGCCACUACACUCCAGUCCGGGCGACAGAGCAAGAGUCCAUUCCCCCACCACCAAAAAAAAAAAAAAAAGAAAGAAAGAUGAUGUGAUACAUAUCACAUAUUUCCUAACACCCCCAACCAAACACAUUUAUGCAUAUGCAUAAAGCAGACGAGGAAAGAUUCUAAAUAGGCUCUGAAUCUCAGUUUUCUCAUCUCUACAAUGGGGCAGUGAUGGCAUGCACCUCCCAGGGCUGUUCUGAGAAUCUGAUGCCUCCCAUUGCACUGGUGAGCCUGGCACAGGCACAGGUCCCACCCCAGGCCCUUUGAACUGGCUGUUCCUUUGGCCUGGAACAUUCCUCCCCAGAUACCUCCUGAGAGGGCUCCCUCACUUCCUUCAAGGCACUGCUCAAAUGCUACCUCUUCACAGAGGCUUUCCCUGACCACCCCGUCUCUUUCCUCUUCCUGCAUAGCCUCUGUCACCUGACAUUUUAUGUCAUAAAUUACUCAUUUAUUAAUUUCCUGCUCUCCCACAGUGGCACCCGAGCUCUGUGAGGGCAAGACUUUGUUCGGUUGUGGGCUAUGCCCCCAACCCCUCGGACAGUGCCUGCACAGGUGGACAUUUUUGUUGGAUGAAGGAUUUUCUGUUAAAUGUGUCUGGCACACACAGAAAAACAAAGCCCAGCAGGUACGAUGGUGAUUAUUAUUGUUACUGGUGGCGCUCUAUUAUUGUUAUUAGUGUCUGUUGAAAAAGACCCUGAGCUAUACCAGCCCUUGGUUCUCCAGCCUGUGAAAUGGGCAUCCUGGGCACUGAGGCACUAGCCUUGGGAAGCUGAUAGGGGGUCCCUGCAGGAGAGACAAAGAACACUGCCCACCCCCCCGGGGGAGCCUGCGCCCCUCACCGGAAAGAGAAGCAGGGGGGAGCAGAGGGAGCUUGCAGCCCCACACGCAGGGCUGCCAGAAGGCCAUACAUAAUUCAUUGCCAAAUGGGGCUGCGGGCGGCUCUCCGCGGCGUGCGCUGGGGGCUCACUCUGCGCCUGGCACUUCGCUGACUGCGCCUCACACGUUGCCUCAUUGCAUCUUCAUGGAUUUGCAGGGUGUGACCCUUCCCCCUGUUUUACCCAGGGGGAUCCUGAGGCUCAGAGGAUGGGGCCACCGUGCUAGUCACACAGCCUCUCUGUGGCCAAGCUGGGCCUCGGGCCAGCAGAUUCGGCCCCCAGCGGCCCCCAUUCACUGCCUCUCUGCUGAGGGAAAAGACGGGCCUGGGGAGCGGGUGGGAGGCACAAAGGAGACCCCGCUCUGAGACAGGCUGCAGAAGAGGGAGCUGGGUCUCAGCAGGGCUGGGGAAGGCUCUGGCCCCAGCCCUCCGCCCAACCCCCUGCCCUCCUCUCCUGGAGGAGAUGCUCCCCAAAUUAGCCAUCAUGAGCGCUGGCUCUGGGGGUUGGGCGUUGGGGAGCAGUUUGCUCAGCUGUAAAAUGGGAAUAACAGAAGCCGUCCCUGGGACUAUGAGAUCAAGGUGCUCAAGAAAAGUGGUGUCUGCUGAGGGGAAAAGCCAGUCCCAAAAGGUUGCAUACUCUCAUUCUGUUUAUUUGUUUUUGUUUUUGAGACAGGGUCUCGCCCUGUCACCCAGGCUGGAGUACAGUGGCGCAAUAUGGGCUCACUGCAACCUCCACCUCCUGGGCUCAAGUGAUCCUCCCAUCUCAGACCCUCAAGGAGCUGGGGCUACAGGCACGUGCCACCGUGUCCGGCUAAUUUUUGUAUUUUUUGUAGAGACAGGGUUUCACCAUGUUGCCCAGGCUGGUCUCAAACUCCUGAGCUCAGGUGAUCCGCCUGCCUUGGCCUGCGAUAAAAUUGCACAGAAGUAAAUACACACACGUGAGGAUACGGAAAACCGGGGAAACCUGAGCAAGAGCAGUCAGACCCCGGCUGUGAUGGCGCCCAGUAGUUCUGCGAGAUGUUACCAUUGGGGAAACUGAGUGAAGGCGGGUACCUGGGAUCCCUCUGUUUUCUUUUUUGUUGUUGUUGUUAUUUUGAGAUGAAGUUUCCCUCUUGUUGCCCAGGCUGGGUGAUCCACCUGCCUCGGCCUCCCAAAGUGCUGGGAUUACACGCGUGAGCCACUGUGCCCAGCCUCUCUGUUUUAUUUCUUCUUUUUUUUUUUUUUUU
rnacentral:lncRNA from 1 species